rnacentral:tRNA from 1 species
AAGGUGUAGCGCUGGGUAGCGCAGCGCAUCUGUGGGGUGGGCCGGCCAUAGGUUCGAAUCCUGCCACCUUU